AUACGUAGGGUGCGAGCGUUGUCCAGAAUUACUGGGCGUAAAGAGCUCGUAGGUGGUUUGUCGCGUCGUCUGUGAAAUUCCGGGGCUUAACUCCGGGCGUGCAGGCGAUACGGGCAUAACUUGAGUACGGUAGGGGCGACUGGAAUUCCUGGAGACGCGGUGAAAUGCGCAGAUAUCAGGAGGAACACCGGUGGCGAAGGCGGGUCUCUGGACAGAAACUGACGCUGAGGAGCGAAAGCAUGGGUAGCAAACAGGAUUAGAUACCCUGGUAGUCCACGCCGUAAACGGUGGGUGCUAGGUGUAGGGGGUAUUCACGCCUUCUGUGCCGUAGCUAACGCAUUAAGCGCUCCGCCUGGGAAGUACGGCCGCAAGGCUAAAACUCAAAGGAAUUGACGGGG
rnacentral:rRNA from 1 species